rnacentral:rRNA from 1 species
UACGGAGGGUGCAAGCGUUAUCCGGAUUCACUGGGUUUAAAGGGUGCGUAGGUGGGCAGGUAAGUCAGUGGUGAAAUCUCCGGGCUUAACUCGGAAACUGCCAUUGAUACUAUCUGUCUUGAAUACCGUGGAGGUCAGCGGAAUAUGUCAUGUAGCGGUGAAAUGCUUAGAUAUGACAUAGAACACCAAUUGCGAAGGCAGCUGGCUACACGAAUAUUGACACUGAUGCACGAAAAGCGUGGGGAUCAAAACAGG